GCUGGUGUAAAGGAUGACUUCACUUUUUUCCCCAUCAGAUCGACAGUGUUGAUGUCGUUGAACACUUGCCAGUUAGUUCUGAUGCACCAGC